rnacentral:rRNA from 1 species
UACAGAGGUCUCGAGCGUUGUUCGGAUUCAUUGGGCGUAAAGGGCGCGUAGGCGGCGGGGUAAGUCUGGUGUGAAAUCUCGGAGCUCAACUCCGUAAUUGCACUGGAUACUGCUCUGCUAGAGGGCUGGAGAGGAGAUCGGAAUUCACGGUGUAGCAGUGAAAUGCGUAGAUAUCGUGAGGAAGACCAGUGGCGAAGGCGGAUCUCUGGACAGCUCCUGACGCUGAGGCGCGAAGGCUAGGGGAGCAAACGGG